GUCGAGCGGACGGAUGGGAGCUUGCUCCCUGAAGUCAGCGGCGGACGGGUGAGUAACACGUGGGCAACCUGCCUGUAAGACUGGGAUAACUUCGGGAAACCGGAGCUAAUACCGGAUAAUUCUUUCCCUCACAUGAGGGAAAGCUGAAAGAUGGUUUCGGCUAUCACUUACAGAUGGGCCCGCGGCGCAUUAGCUAGUUGGUGAGGUAACGGCUCACCAAGGCAACGAUGCGUAGCCGACCUGAGAGGGUGAUCGGCCACACUGGGACUGAGACACGGCCCAGACUCCUACGGGAGGCAGCAGUAGGGAAUCUUCCGCAAUGGACGAAAGUCUGACGGAGCAACGCCGCGUGAGUGAUGAAGGUUUUCGGAUCGUAAAACUCUGUUGUUAGGGAAGAACAAGUACCGGAGUAACUGCCGGUACCUUGACGGUACCUAACCAGAAAGCCACGGCUAACUACGUGCCAGCAGCCGCGGUAAUACGUAGGUGGCAAGCGUUGUCCGGAAUUAUUGGGCGUAAAGCGCGCGCAGGCGGUUCCUUAAGUCUGAUGUGAAAGCCCACGGCUCAACCGUGGAGGGUCAUUGGAAACUGGGGAACUUGAGUGCAGAAGAGAAGAGUGGAAUUCCACGUGUAGCGGUGAAAUGCGUAGAGAUGUGGAGGAACACCAGUGGCGAAGGCGACUCUUUGGUCUGUAACUGACGCUGAGGCGCG
rnacentral:rRNA from 1 species